UUUUCCCCAAAUUUCCCCCUAAAACCCAAAAACGAAAAAAAUCCCAAAUUUCCCCCUAAAAUGGAGGCACCAAAGACGAUUCAUCUUCUUUGAUGAGAGUAGCAGUGUGAGGAAUGGGAAUUCAUUUUCUCAUUUGUUGAAACCUGAAUUCAGAGAGAUAUUGAAUUUUGGUAAGAGUAAGAGAAGUGGGAAUGGGAAUUUGUUCAUAGGAAACUCUCUGUUCUUCGUGGAGAACAAGAAGAGGUUGCCUAAUUCGAGAGGGAGCAACGAAGAAGCUAUGCUUUCGUUUACUUCAGCGCUUGAGAAUUUAAAAGAUCAUGCUGGAAAAUAUGCGACUGGAGAUGAAGUUUCCAUGAUCUGUUUCUAGCACUACAGAUUCUGGCUGGGAUUGAACGAUUCAAUGUAAUCUGCUUAUUCCAUUAACUACUAGUUUCUGCAUCCAAUUGAUAUUUGUUCACUUUUAACUCAUUUGAAGUUGCCAUUCCUCUCCUCACACUCAAACGCAGGUAUGUAUUCUUGGCUUUUCUAUUUGCUCUUAUGCUUCUAAAAUUUUUAUGAGUUAGAGGGAGAAAUAUUGCUUCAUAUAUCACCAUCCUCCUAAGAUUUUUCAGUGACACUAAAUAAAAAUUUUCAGCUCUGGACUCAGGUUUCUUUUUUACUUGGACUUGUACACACACAUAUAUUACAUUAUGCAAAAGACACAUAUAUCACAAAAUUACUUUCUUAACUUUUUAUAUUAUAUAUAUGUUUUAUAAGAUUAGCUUUAGCUCUCAGUUUUCACUUUCACAUUGAGUUAUUUGAGCAUUUUUCAUAUUUCUUUCUAAUGUGGGACAGAUUUCAAUUUCUUAAAAAGGAAAAAUUAUAUUGUUUUUUUUGCCUCAAUCCUCUUUAUUUGUCUCUUUAACCGCAUUGGAUAUGGAGUCUAUGUUGUCUUUUCUUUUCAGUUUUUCCAUUUUAGAUUUAUAGUUAAACUUCAAAGUGGUUCUGCUUCAAGUUAAGACAGUGGGGUUUUUUACAUUGAUCAUCUUAAGUUUAUUUGUUCUAUGUUUUUUGGCCGUCAUGUCAUGUGUCCAUCUAAUAUAGCAAUGAUAGAUUUUAAAGCCUGGGAAGUAUGAAGUUUUGGUAGGCUAUGGUCUGCAUUAUUUUCCUUUUGCUUAUUUGGACUUUGAAUGUACAUUUUUGGUAACUUUUGUUUUAUGAUUUAUCAGGAUAAGAAAAGAAUAUUUUGUUUCUUCCUUUUACUCUUUUAUGUUUAUGUUAGAUGUAAUGGGACUUGAGAGUGCAUGAUGUUAAAAUUUUAUGAUAAAUGAUCAUUUAUUUUGCCAAGAAAAUUGGUCAGAAGUGAGCGUUUUGAUUUUUAAAUCUUUUCUAGCGUUUUGAAUUUUAGGAAUUAUAUAUAUAUAAACAGAUAAUAUUACGGCUGCCCGAUGACUCAAAAGUGAGCGAUAAAUUAUGGGAUGAGGUGAUAGAGUUAAUGAAAUUUCGGGUGGUGGACAAGGUUCUGUUAAUUCAUACGCUUGCAGGCCGGGUGCUUUCACGAGUUGUAAAUGAUUCUGAAAAUAGCGACAUUCUUGAUUUAUUUCUCGAAGCCCUUCCAUUGGAUCAGAACUCGCAAAAUGCAUAACUUAUUGCUGAAGUUAUACAACCACGUUCUCUGCAUUCUGAUGACCAGUUUUGAAGUUUAGGAUUUCAGAAUUGAAAUGGAUUUCCAGCUUGGAGGAUGCAUAGAGCCUGGAGAAGGUUAUGAUAAAUAAUGUACUUGUUGUUGCACUUAUAUUAAAUAUUGUACCCUUUUUUGCGAAAUUGUUGUCUUUUGAAAUAUCUUUAAGAUUAAGGAACUAUACUAAAUGCGGUCACAAAACUUAUGUAAUUCUAAUAUAGAAUGUAAACAAUUUUCUUAUGUAAUUCUAAUAUAGAAUGUAUCUUGUUUUAUUUUCUUAA